UACGUAGGUGGCGAGCGUUGUCCGGAAUUACUGGGUGUAAAGGGCGUGUAGGCGGGUAAGCAAGUCAGAUGUGAAAUACCGGGGCUCAACCCCGGGGCUGCAUUUGAAACUGCAUAUCUUGAGUGCAGGAGAGGGAAGCGGAAUUCCUAGUGUAGCGGUGAAAUGCGUAGAUAUUAGGAGGAACACCAGUGGCGAAGGCGGCUUCCUGGACUGUAACUGACGCUGAGGCGCGAAAGCGUGGGGAG
rnacentral:rRNA from 1 species